rnacentral:lncRNA from 1 species
AAACAGGAUAGAACACCGUACAAAUAGUCUUCCACUGAGGUAUGGUCUUCUCCUGAAGUAUGCUAUUCUCCUGAGGAUGAGCCUGUAUUGGUCCUCUUUCUACCCAGGAUGACCCAGCCCUCCAGCCCAUAGGCUCGUUAUCUACGGAUUACCCUUCCCUCAGGCUGCUCUCUAUCUCUGGUCAAAGUAUCAAAGGCUAAUAUGUGUUUCAAUCCAAAAUGAUGGAGUUAGAGGGGGUAAAAGUCGUCUUAAUUUGAGCACCAUGACGGAGCAUGACCUUAUGAUCUCAAUCAUGUCUCGUUACUCGAGUCGAGGCAAUUUAGCAUGGGUCAGAUCUAUACUCUACAACAUGGGUCAAUUCCCCAACAGCGGAAAGCAACGCUGCAGACACUUGAGGAGAUUUGACUCCCCUGAAGUGUAUCAAUUUUAAUGACACACAGCCCUGGGCAGAUUGAACUCACCAUGACCAAAGGAAAGCUGUCAAACCAGAAAGAAGUCAAAACUAGAGGAUCCAGUCAGACUGUCACUGAUCCUGAGUGGAUCAGGUGUUUGUCAAUUAAAUUAGUCAAAGUAUAAAAUGCAGCGCAACAGUAAGCAGCAUCACUGUACAGUGUGAUGGUCCAGUUGAUGUUCAUGCCAUUGCCUAUGUUGUUAAUGUUGUGCUUUACAAAGGGCCACCCAUGUACUCAACAUAAAUAUUUGAAAUGCCUUGCUCUAGAAGCCAUAUCAUUUUUAGGGAUUGACCUUGCGGUCACAAGUCUGAUCCUCUGACCACUUCUCUACUCAUGUCAUAUGUCACGCUUGGGGCUUCUCCUGUUCAGAACUGCUGCCUAAGCAUAAUCUGAUAUCCUCAAUUGCAAUGAGCAAUGGAAAUGCACUGAAUGUAAUGUCACAUUGCAAACAACUAUGUAGUAGACUGGUAGCCUCUAAAUUCCUAUGACAAUAUCUCACAGAACCACUGCUUGCAUGCUGCAACCCUGUGAAUACGAUUGGUGUGAAACUGCACGUUGGGGGGAAAGUUACUGCUGAGGUGUGGCUUGGCAUCCUUUACUGUUCACCCCACUUACAACACAUUUUUUAUGGGCGCCGGUAGAAGUAGCUUUCGUAAAAACAGAGUUCACUUUGUUAUUCAGAUCUGAGUUCACAGCAUGCAGUGACUUAGGAUCAAUGGCAAAAUGCAUUGAAUUUCAUAAUGGCUUGGCUUCCAACUUUGGAAUGCUCCUUCACAACAAUUCAAUUUAGCGCCAUAAAAUCUGUCAACUGUAAACGACUCAGAAAGAGAACAAGUUUCACAACACCAAAAGUAACUGGGAGAGAGGUUAUGCCCUUGCUGUAACCCCCAGCUUUGAACUAUUGAUUGAGCUGCAGCCACUACAAGAAACGCUUAGUCUCUAGCAUAAACUCACGGCGAUCUAUUCAAGAUUCAAAAUUAUGUCAUUGUUUGAUGCAGUAGAGCGUCAAUCGACUUUAGGGGGAUAUUAUCAAGAGAGAGAGAGAGACGAGAGGCUAUGUUUGAGCCAUUGUUGACAAAACCGAAAUGCCACAGCACCCUGAUGGCCUAGGCAUGGCCAUUAGGACAGAGGAGCAGAUAGGGCCUCCAGGGGCCUGAGGAGGGUAAAUGGGGCGGUGCCAGAGUGUUUACAUGGCUCUAAUUGGCCAAGAUAAGUUGUGUCUCAUCAAACCCAGAAAGUAAAGCACUGAUGUUGGUGAUUCAUUGUAUCACCUUGGAAAUCACAGCUGCCAUUCCCUAAAAGGCAUUUCCUGUUUAUUGGGUAUGUGCAACGCGUUUUAAACUAACUGUCUAAAUACCGUUCCUAAAUUAGGAUGAAACAAGGAAGUAAAAAAGGGAAAAGUCUAGUUUCUCUUUGAGAACAAGGUGACUCAUCACCCCUCCCAUGUCUUCUUCAUGUUUACAUUGCCUUUCUUCUCCGUCAUAGUUCUGAGAAUAGAAUCAGUAGAAUCACUCUGCUUUAUUUCAUGCUGAGUUGUCAGAAAAUGGUUCGAAGCCUUUCCAAUCCAUGUCCCCUGUGUAGGAAAAGGUCACUGACUCAAUAUCCACAUUGAGCUAAACAGGGUUUCCCUAGCCUGCGGUAUUCAUCUUUAACAGGGAGUGGAUUCAGGGUUUUAAAAAUGGUCAGAGAGCGAGGGAGGGAGAGACAAGAAAGCAGUUAAUAAAUGAAAUAAGAGAAAGCAAACUUCUUACUGUCUUUUCUUAUUUCUGUCAUGACUAAUUUGAUUCAGAGAGGGGAACUUCCUUCGCUCUAUCUAUCUUCCAUAUUUAGUCAUUCACAUUAAGUAACAGUUUAUUGUUUUAUAGUUCCUGAUUGACCUCUUCCUUCAUCUCUUACAACGUCCGGGAGAUUUGGAUCUGGGUUCUGAGGUGAGUAUUUUGAGAAUAUGAAAAUACCACAGAGUUCAGUGUUUAGUGGUGAUUUAAGCAGUGAGAUGCCAACCAUCCAGAAUACAUAAAAGCAAACAUAACACACAUAAAAUACAAGCUCCAGUUUUUUAUGUAUAUUCCAGGUUCCUUGUAUGUAACAGACUCCUAGUUGUUCUUCUUAUGUAUAUUCCAGGUUCCUUGUAUGUAACAGACUGCUAGUUGUUCUUCUUAUGUAUAUUCCAGGUUCCUUGUAUGUAACAGACUCCUAGUUGUUCUUCUUAUGUAUAUUCCAGGUUCCUUGUAUGUAACAGACUCCUAGUUGUUCUUCUUAUGUAUAUUCCAGGUUCCUUGUAUGUAACAGACUCCUAGUUGUCCAGUGAAAACCCCAUUCACUAUAGGGAAUAUGAAAUAAGCAGGGAUUUACUUUACUGUGGCAUUAGGCUAAUUCGGUGACCGGUAGUCCAGUAGGCAAAUAUCUUCCUGUUAUGAUACACAAUCUAAACUCAUUUUCUUCAUUUAUAAAGGAUUUGCUCAGGAUAAGCAUCUUCAUAAGCUGUCUGUAGUAUGUAUAUUUCCUAUACUAUGAUACAUCUCCCGUAACAGACAGUGACAGUGGGAACGGACAUAGGUGAGGUGGGGUAGAAAGGGA